CGGAGGAUCCAAGCGUUAUCCGGAAUCAUUGGGUUUAAAGGGUCCGUAGGCGGGUUAGUAAGUCAGUGGUGAAAGCCCAUCGCUCAACGGUGGAACGGCCAUUGAUACUGCUAGACUUGAAUUAUUAGGAAGUAACUAGAAUAUGUAGUGUAGCGGUGAAAUGCUUAGAGAUUACAUGGAAUACCAAUUGCGAAGGCAGGUUACUACUAAUGGAUUGACGCUGAUGGACGAAAGCGUGGGUAGCGAACAGGAUUAGAUACCCUGGUAGUCCACGCCGUAAACGAUGGAUACUAGCUGUUGGGAGCGAUCUCAGUGGCUAAGCGAAAGUGAUAAGUAUCCCACCUGGGGAGUACGUUCGCAAGAAUG
rnacentral:rRNA from 1 species